UUUGUUGUUGGUGGUGUGCUGUUUGAGCUGUUGUAGAAGACCUGGGCUUAUUCUGGGUCUUCAGUUCUCCCUGGCUUAUUUUUUUUAUUUUAGUAAACGAGAGCCUGUUUCAACUUGCUCUGGAAUCUGGCCUCGUUUGAAUUUGUAACAUCUUUUGGGGACUCAUCCGGGUUCGGCCACGACCCUGAGGUGGUCCGGGGUAGGCUGGAGCCCGAAGACGUGUCCAGCCACAUUUUGGCUGCCGAGCUUUCGACUACAUCGGACUGAGGAGGGGAAGGCGCCGACUCCCAAAGCCAGUGAGAAGAGCAGCAGCUCAAAAGCACCUUGGAGGAAAUAAUGAAGCACUUUACACCUGAGGACAAUACCCAAGUUCUGCAGUAUGUGGACGAUCUACUAAUUUCUGGAGAACAAAAGGAGGAGAUCAGAAGAUCCAAGCAGAGAAAUAGAGCAUUCUCCCACGCAUCUAGCAAUCUGGCCCUAAAAAGGAUAGAAGAAACAAGUUGAUACAAAAGGGAAAGUGAACUCCUGCUACAGUAACGGGUAAGAGUAACACGUUAAGAAAAGGAAAAAGGGGGGCAAGACCGGAUCAAGUUACAUUCUCGCCAUAGAAAGUUGCUGAUCCUCUACGGAGGGAAGACAUGAUUAGGAGAGUGGCUUGUACCGGACCCCCGUUCCUAUGUAUCCUCCUACUUAUGAUCCUUGAUAAGGAAUGGACAGAACCAUGCGAAAAGUGUUACUACCCUUUGUACGCAGGAGAAUCUCGGACUGCCGUCCUCAGAACACACACUAACCCGAGUCCUAAUUGUAUCAACUUUUUAUCGGUAACAGCAUGCAUAGAGGACGGUAAAACAUAUUGGCUGUUCGAAAAAAUAGGAAAUUUUAAACACAAAUUGUUGGGGGAACGCCCUAUAAAAGAAAAGUGGAUCUGUUCUGCAAAGAAACCUAUUGAAGGGCAAGUAAGAGAUGACAAUUAUGAACCUGAUCUGAUAAAAGAAAAAGAAAUAAAAGGGGUAAUCAAAAAGGGACCAAAAAUCUCGACUCUGGGAGGGAAGAACCUAUUUCUUGACCUAGCAGAGAAAAUCAGUCGCAAAUUUAAUGUCUCCAACUGCUGGAUCUGUGGGGACACUCGUAUGGCCGAGAUUUGGCCAUGGGAAGGGAUUCCUAUGAGUCCGAGAGAUGUGCUUAGGAUUCUAGAGAAAGAAGGAUCCGAACGAGACAGCAGACCAGAAGAAGGAGUCUGGAAACUGAGAUCCGAAGUAAUUGGUGAAGAGUGUCUUUGGAGGAGACAUCAAAAGUACACCGUGCAUUUGGGUGAGAUCCAUUGCAAACGUUAUUUAGUCCUAGAUGACACCCGUCAGUGGUGGAUCCCCAAAAAUCCCCAUUUGUAUUGGUCUAGGUCCAAGAGAUUCCAAUGUUCAUACAUAGAAAGAGAAAAGCUAUAUGAAUGUCCCACCAGAGAACCCAAUCCAUUCUGGGAUGUACCACAACUUGCCAAAUUUUGGAACCAAACUAGUUAUCAAUUAGAGAGCCAGCUCCAGUUUUGGAGAGCUCCCAAAAAUUUAUACUGGUUGUGCGGAAAAAGAGCUUAUGUAGUCCUGCCAAAAGGAUGGGCUGGAAGUUGUACAUUGGGAGUAAUAAGACUCUCCUUCUUUCUCCUCCCCAGGGUAGAAGGAUACCAUUUAGGGAUACCCCUAUAUGAUGAGCUAGCCUGGAAAAAGCGAGACUUAUCCAUAGGAGGCACCCAACAAUGGGGGGAGGAAGAAUGGCCACCAGAACGUAUUAUAGCCACCUACGGUCCAGCUGCUUGGGCUCAAGAUGGGUCAUGGGGAUAUAGGACACCUAUUUACAUGCUAAACCGAAUAAUCAGGUUGCAAGCCCUAUUAGAAAUCAUCUCUAACCAAUCCACUUUAACUAUAGACCUCCUUAAUGCUCAAUCCAGACAAAUGAGAGCGAUGAUUUAUCAGAACCAGCUAGCUUUAGACUGCCUUCUAGCUGAAGAAGGAGGAGUCUGUGGAAAAUUUAAUUCCUCAGAAUGCUGUAUUGAGAUAGGUGAUAACAGCAAAGUAAUUACUAAUAUUACUACCAACAUUAGAAAACUAGCCCGUGUCCCUGUCCAGAGGUGGACCCCAUUGAUUCAAACUGAUUUAGGAAAUUGGUGGAAUAACUUAUUAAAAAGGGAUUGGUGGAAGAAAGUAUUGGUAAUCCUAAGUGGUGCCCUAAUAAGUAUUGUUCUCCGUCCAUGUAUGAUCCCAUGCCUCAUCCGGGUCGUUACGAAAACCGUGAUCAGCUCCCUCGAGCUCACCCUCAAAAGUGGAAACAAGGACAAAGAUGCUAAGAACAUUUUAAUGUUACAAGAACAAGGAGUGGAACCCAACCCAAUGGCAGAGACAGAUGAGUCCGCAGCCGAAACGUACAGGAGAUACCAGAAAUUAAGAAAAUCAUAUACCAUAGAAGAAGAAACUGUUUAAAAACAGUUCAAAAUGAACUGUUGAAGAGACUUUCUAAAGAAACUGUUUUAAGACUGUUCAAAAAUGAACUACUAAGAGACUGUUUAAAAAGACUGUUUAAGGAAAGACUGAGUGGAGCUGUUGAUGCGGGCUAAAGCCCGAUCAAAGUUUUAGAGAGGGGAGUUGUUAUAAGUUUGGUUUUUAAUAAAGUUGGGGUUUGCUUGUUGUGGGGGAAGGGAAGUGUCCAGGACUUGGUGGGGGCUGGAGGUGGAUGGUGAUUGGACCAGGGCACUGACCAAUCACUCGACGCCCUGAAGAAAUGAUUGGUCCAGAAUGAACACGAGUACGGACCAAUCAAGGCGCCCGAAUUCCAACAGUCGGUGUUCGGAUCCAAAACCCACCAAUCCUAGACCAAGGGUAGUAAUAAAAAGGGGGGGUUUUCAGUUACAGGGGGUUCUUUCGCUUUUGUUGUUGGUGGUGUGCUGUUUCAGCUGUUGUAGAAGACCUGGGCUAAUCCUGGGUCUUCAGUUCCCCCUGGCUUAUUUUUUUUAUUUUAAAAAACGAGAGCCUGUUUCAACUUGCUCUGGAA